rnacentral:rRNA from 1 species
AUUGAACGCUGGCGGCAUGCCUUACACAUGCAAGUCGAACGGCAGCACGGGUGCUUGCACCUGGUGGCGAGUGGCGAACGGGUGAGUAAUACAUCGGAACAUGUCCUGUAGUGGGGGAUAGCCCGGCGAAAGCCGGAUUAAUACCGCAUACGAUCUACGGAUGAAAGCGGGGGACCUUCGGGCCUCGCGCUAUAGGGUUGGCCGAUGGCUGAUUAGCUAGUUGGUGGGGUAAAGGCCUACCAAGGCGACGAUCAGCAGCUGGUCUGAGAGGACGACCAGCCACACUGGGACUGAGACACGGCCCAGACUCCUACGGGAGGGAGCAGUGGGGAAUUUUGGACAAUGGGCGAAAGCCUGAUCCAGCAAUGCCGCGUGUGUGAAGAAGGCCUUCGGGUUGUAAAGCACUUUUGUCCGGAAAGAAAUCCUUGGCCCUAAUACGGUCGGGGGAUGACGGUACCGGAAGAAUAAGCACCGGCUAACUACGUG